rnacentral:lncRNA from 1 species
AUUGGACUGACUUAAAAAAAAAUCCUGGGAUGCUGCAACUUGCAUGAACCUUGAAAACACCGCGCUAAACACAAUGAAGCAGACACGAAAGGCUGGAUGUUUAUGAUUCCACUUAAAUGAGGUACCUACGAGAGUGACGUACAUAGAGAAAGAAGGUACACUGGAGAUUACUGGGAGGUGGGAAGGAGGGGAGCAUGAGGUGUUAUUCUUGAAUAGUUGCAGAGCUUCCGUUUGGGAUGAUUAAGAAGUUCUGGAAAUAGGGGAGUUCCUGCCAUGGCUCAGCAGUUAAUGAAUCCAUGAGGAUGCAGGUUUGAUCCCUGGCCUCGCUCGGUGGGUUAAAGGUGCAUCGUUGCCGUGAGCUGUGGUGUAGGUCGCAGACAAGGCUCGCAUCUUGCGUUGCUGUGGCUGUGGCAGAGGCCAGCAGCAAUGCUCCAUUUCGACCCCUAGCCUGGGAACCCCCAUAUGCCAUGGGUGUGGCCCUAAAAAGCAAAUAAAUAAAUAACUUCUGGAAGUAGAUAAUGUCCCCAGCCAGGGAUCUAAUCCAAGCCGCAGUUUCAACCUACGCCAGAGCUGCAAACUACACCACAGCUGCAGCAAUGCCAGAUCCUUAACCCACUGUGCCACAGUGGGAACUCCAGUUGCUCUCCUUAAAAGUGAUUUAGGAGUUCCCAUUGUGGCUCAGCAGUAACAAACGCUACUAGUAUCCAUGAGGAUGCAGGUUUGAUCCCUGGCCUCCCUCAGUGGGUUAAUAUCCAGUGUUGCCAUGAGCUGUGGUAUAGGUCUCAGAAGCAGCUCUGAUCCUGUGUUGCUCUGGCUAAGAACCAUGAGGUUGUGGGUUCAAUCCCUGGCCUCACUCAGUGGGUUAAGGAUCCGGUGUUGCCAUGAGCUCUGGUGUAGGUCACAGACAUGGCUCAGAUCUGGCAUUGCUGUGGCUGUGGUGUAGGCUGGUAGCUACAGCUCCAAUUUGACCCAGGCUGGGAACUUCCAUAUGCCGUGAGUAUGGCCCUAAAAAAAAAAACAAAACAAAAAAUGGCUUAAACUGCUAAGUUUUGUUAUAUAUAUUUACCACAGUAAAAAUAAUGUUAUUUAAAUUAAAAAAGCAAAUAUCCUGAGAAACCAAGCACUGUCACAAGAACUUAAAAAACAGAGGUGACAACCCUGCGACAUACACAUGGAGAAAUCAUUCUUUGGUGACAUGAUGUGGCUGAUUAACUACUGAUACCAAUUCUCACUAACAAUAAUAAUACCUUCCCACCUGUCAAGGUACUAACUACUCUGUAUACUUUCCGACCACCAGUAUAGGAGUUAUUACGUCUCUUACACAGAGGAGGAGAGCUUACGUGCUUUCCUGUCAGCUCCCUUUUGGAAAAGCCUGGACUUGAACUCAAGUCUCGGAUGGAACCAUCCCAGCAGGCUCCUCGGGGAGCUCCCUUAGGCCAAGCUGACCCUGAUUUGAUGGACUAGUAGCUGUCAUUUGAAGAUGAGCUUUGAUGAGAUUGCAAGGUCUCCAGCGCCUGCAGACUGAGUUUGGUUUGGAAACAGUCACGGUUGAGAAAACAGGAAAGCUCUAAGCAAAUCCCUGCGCUCUCUGGGCCAAUCAGAUCUUCCACUGACGCGAACGCUCUACGAAUGAUGGUGCGCAAGACGUGGGAUUUCUUUUGAGCUUAGGAGGAAGACUGGCUUUUCCCAUAUGGUCCAGUCCCAAGCUGUACCUUCUCCAUCCCUGAGAAGCAGGUGCAUAUGUGAGGCUAGGCCGUCUGGGGCCACUGCCCUUCAUUCACAUCCGCCUAGAGCUCUGACCAGACUGAACACCAGUCUCAGUCCUUUGCCCUAAGACAGGCAUUGCCAUGAACUCCUGGUUGACAGCCACUGCCCCAAGGGAAGACUUCCUUGGGGAGAGAUUAAUCCGUUCUGUACUUAGCCCGUCUUGGUGGGCUGGUCUUUUCUGUUGCCUCUGUUGGCCCAGUGUACUGCUGAUCCUAUGACUCAGGAAUACACGCACACUGAAGGAAAGAAGGAAGUAAUUCCUCUUCCAGACUCGCCCCCACCUCUUCCCUUUGCUGCUCUUAGAAGAGCCUGGAGGAUCUAGGAAAGGUUUGCAGUGUGGUGUUCAGUGGCAUAAAUCAGUGAAGACAUUAAACAAAUAUUGCCAGAGAUUGGUGAGGGCCCGGACCCCCCCAUAGGCCAAUAAAGGGGACCUUGUGGUUCUGGAUCUCGGUUAACCUACCAGUGGUGCCCUGUCCUCAGUGAGGGGACUUGUCAGUGUGUCUCAGUACAGCUGGCCACAUGCUGGACUGCUGUGGCCAUGGGAAGUGGACUUUGCAAGGGGCUCUCUAGCCUGGGGAUGCUCCAUGGCAGGUGGUGUGUGUGUGGGUGAGAGUCACCUCAUGCAUCAGAAAGCCGCUGGGCCUCCUUCCAUGAGAAGCGGACAGGAGCUGUCAGCAGAGGAUGACAAGAAAGUCACACACAGCAUACGAGACAGUGCUUAGCCUAUCACGAGCAUUCGGUAAGUUCUGGCUGUGGCUUUUCUUCUGGAUGUUACUAAGGAGGCAGCGUGUUCUCUGCCAGAUUAGAAAGGACCUACUCCCUGCUAGUCACAGUCUCAUAAAACAAAGGUCAGCAGUUUCUGAACAAAUUCGAUUGCAGCGUAACCUUUUCUCUUUCCUGGUUUUGUUCAUUUUAGACUCUUUUUAAAUGAAUGAUACAAGUAGUAUCUAUUAUAGAAAAAGUCACUACAGAGAAGUGCGAUGGCACAGAAAAUAAUUCACAAAUAGUUCUUCUGCCAAAGAAAGUGAGGCGAACAGUUUUGACAUUUUUAAUCAUAAUUCUGUCGAGGUGGUUUGUUUUUUUUUUUUUUUUCUUUUUUCUUCUGCUGGGAUUUUUACUUAUUUUUAGAAGUAACAUGUUGUAUUACUCACAGCCCCAGCAGAAAACAAGGGAUAUACUUCUGUUGAGAACCUUGGAGAGAAUUUAGUAAAGUUACUGUUAAUAAGGGAGUGAGCAGGGUGGACGGAAAUUCCAUAGAAGGUGUAGUGCCCACCCGGAGUCCCAUGAAGCCGUCACCACCCCACCCGAAAAGGGGGGCGUGGAGAACCCUCUAGAGAGCUGGAGGGCUAUGUCAGGGAAGACCCCUUCAGAAGAAAGAGGGGUGAUAGGACAUCAGGAUAAGGGAGUAAAUGCCUUGCGCUCCAGCUUCUCCCUGCCUGCAAGAGGCCCCAGAAACCAGUGAGCGUGGCAUGGUCAGCACCCCACUGCGUGAGGCACGGGGGUCAAGGGUGGAGAGCUGAUCUGGAGAAACAGAGAGACAUCCGACCCAAAGAGGAGGAUGCUCCUGCGGCUUCAUAUUCACACAUUAGGGGUACAGCCACCCCUGCAUACAAAGAAGUGACCAUUGGUUUACAUCCUUCAGACAUUUUUCUAGGUCAUCACCUGGAUAGCAUAUGCCGUCAUAACAGGUGCCGUUUUAGUGUAGGUGUGGGGUGGGUAUAAAUAGUAUGAUACACUGCAUAUUGUUAAACAAGCUGCUUUUUCACCCAAUAAUAAGUCUUAGGCUGUUUCUGUCUCAGCUCACGUAGAGCUAACACAUUAUUUUAACCCCUUGCAAGAUAUUCUCCAGUGUAGCCCAUGGGAAAGCUGUUUUCUAACAUCCUGCUUCUUGCUCUCGCCGUUUGGGGCCCUGGCAGGCCUGCAGUUCCCCACUCUACUAAACUCGAAAGUACCAGUGCAGUUUCCUUUGGGCAAGGACAUACGCACCAGUCACAAGUGUCCCUUCCAGGGAAAAGCUUUAAGAGCCCACAAAAGCAUCGUCAUCUCUCUCUUUUCCUCUGCCCGGGACUUGGGAUAUUUUAGACCAGUGUUGUCCAAUAAAAAUCUAAUACAAGCUGCUCUGUACUUGAAAUUUUCUAGAAGCCACAUUUUAAAAAAAUGUUUUAAAUGGAUAAAAUUAAUUUUGAUAAUGU